UACGGGGGGUGCAAGCGUUAAUCGGAAUUACUGGGCGUAAAGCGUGCGUAGGCGGUUGAGUCAGUCAGUCGUGAAAGCCCUGGGCUUAACCUGGGAACGGCGAUUGAGACGGCUCGACUAGAGUGGGCUAGAGGAUCGUGGAAUUCCGGGUGUAGCGGUGAAAUGCGUAGAGAUCCGGAGGAACACCGAUGGCGAAGGCAGCGGUCUGGGGUCACACUGACGCUGAGGCACGAAAGCGUGGGGAGCAAACAGG
rnacentral:rRNA from 1 species